rnacentral:lncRNA from 10 species
AAUACUCAUUGAGAAAGAUGAUGUUCACCUACUGCAAGGAGUAGAGAUCGCACUCCAAGGCUAUGCUGAAGAGCAAUUAAGAGAGCAAAAAAAUACAGACAACAAAGCCCCCACAUCUUGGCAUUUUUAAAGAAUAGUUAACAGAGACAAAGAUGGAGAAAUAGGAGGUCCCCAGCCAUCAUCCCCCUACAGAAGCAACAAUUUUCCAGCCACCCGUGGACAAAAGUGCCUUUGUGGGAGCCUUGGGAUCCAGUUGGUGUCAUGGCAGCAGCUGCUCCCAAUGGGCCACCACUGCCACUAACAACGCAACCAAAGGAAACUGGUAAAGCUCCAGUAACUAACCCUAAGAAAAUGAAGACCUACAAACUGAGACAAAUCAAAAUAACCAGCUUAAAAAAGCUCAAUGAACUACAAGAUCACAACUAAAUAAAGUAAGCAAAGCAAUACAAGAACAAAAUGU